rnacentral:rRNA from 1 species
UACGAAGGGGGCUAGCGUUGUUCGGAAUUACUGGGCGUAAAGCGCACGUAGGCGGAUACUUAAGUCAGGGGUGAAAUCCCGGGGCUCAACCCCGGAACUGCCUUUGAUACUGGGUAUCUCGAGUCCGGAAGAGGUGAGUGGAAUUCCGAGUGUGGAGGUGAAAUUCGUAGAUAUUCGGAGGAACACCAGUGGCGAAGGCGGCUCACUGGUCCGGUACUGACGCUGAGGUGCGAAAGCGUGGGGAGCAAACAGG